rnacentral:lncRNA from 1 species
AUGAAACAUUUCCAAAAUGAAGUUGAAUUCAUGAAAUGUUAUGAGGCUGGGAGACAAAGUUCCAACACAGACCUCAGGAAGAGACCAGCCAGGGCGCGUGUGGAAGGAGGUGGAGACGGGCUCUCCCCGCCAUCCCGGCACCUGAGGGCACCGCGGGUCCCCACGAGGACGCUGGGGAAAUGGAGUGUGUUUCACACGGCGUUUGUGAAUAGGAAACUGUCGGGACUCUUACACGCGCUGUUACAUCUGCGAUUCUGGAACCAGGAAGAGCAGAAUUUGCGGCGACGACAGCCGCGUCUCGGGGAUGAGUGCCGACUGCCAAGUAGGCACAGCAACACCGGCACGCUGUCUGCCUGUGUGGCCGAGCGUCGCUCUCGCCAAUCAAGCUGGGCCGACCGAGGACGGCGCCAGCAGCCGGCCAUCUUCUCCGCGAGCAGGACAGGCCCAGCAGGCUGCUGCCCCAGGCUCUCGCCGAGCCGGCUCGUCCCGCCUCUGAUCCAUCGCGACGUCCUGGCUUCAACACCCGACGAGAGUCACCUUUCAAAUGCGCCGUGUGUUCGGGGGUUCCUGGAGCACAGACUGGCAUGUCGGUUUGUACAGGACUCUCGGAGAAAGAGCAACCUGAAACGCAGCGUGGCUUCCCGGAGGAAGACCGCGUCCAGGAACGACUUCCUGCUCGUCCCGGGUUCCCGCAGGGAGAGGUCGGCCUGCGGGGUGUCUCCGCGCGCGGAGGCCGGAGGUCGGGGACUGUUGCGGGGUUCCCGCAGGGAGAGGUCGGGUACCACUGUGGGGUUCCCUUCCCGCGUGGGUAGAGGUCGGGUACUAUUGCGGGGUUCCCGCGCGGGGAGAGGUCGGGUACUAUUGCAGGGUUCCCGCGCGGGGAGAGGUCGGGUACUAUUGCAGGGUUCCCGCGCGGGGAGAGGUCGGCCUGCGGGGAGUCUCCAUGCUCGGGGGUCGGAGGUCGGGUACUAUUGCGGGGUUCCCUUCCUGCGCGGGGAGAGGUCAGGUACUAUUGCGGGGAGAGGUCGGCCUGCGGGGAGUCCCCGCGCUCGGGGGUUGGAGGUCAGGUACUAUUGUGGAGUUCCCACGUGGGUAUUGGUCAGGUACUACUGCGGGGUUCCCUUCCCGUGCUGGAGAGGUCGGGUACCAUUGCGGGGUUCCCGCGCGGGGAGAGGUCGGCCUGCGGGGAGUCUCCGCUCUCGGGGGUCGGAGGUCGGGUACUAUUGCGGGGUACCUUUCCCGCGCGGGGAGAGGUCGGGUACUAUUGUGGGGUUCCCACGCGGGGAGAGUUCGGCCUGCGGGGAGUCUCCGCGCUCGGGGGUCGGAGGUCAGGUACUAUUGCGGGGUUCCCUUCCCGCGCGGGGAGAGGUCGGGUACUAUUGCGGGUUCCCGCGCGGGGAGAGGUCGGGUACCAUUGCGGGGUUCCCGUGCGGGGAAGGUCGGGUACUAUCGCGGGGAGUCUCCGGUGCAUUGCCAGGCGUUGGGUUCUAGCUCCCCAGCUUUUUGCUCACGACAGAGCUCGUCAGAGUCUCAGCGUGGAGCGCGGACGCGAUGGAGCGCAACGCAUCCCCCGGCCUCACUGUCCUGUCCCCGGGCCUCCGUGUGCGUGUGGCUUUGAUUUCAGAGGACCGAGGGUGGCCGGGCCGCUCUCCUCCCGACCUAAGGCCGGUGUCUGCGGGACGACCCGCGGCCGGGGGUCCCAACGCCGCCCGAUCCCGGACCUCUGAGAGCCCUCAGCUGUGCGGACUCAAACCUCUGCCAGCGGAAAUCAGCCCAGGCGGCUGCCCGGCGCACAGACUCCGGGCGCCCAGAGCGGGGGCGGCAGCAGGCGCCGAGUGACCCGCCUGUCAAGUCCCUUCCUCCCGUGUCCAUCUUUUUCUCCUCAGAGCGUCCCUUCCGCACGUGCGGCGGCGAGCGUACUGAUUGGCUCCCUGCCUCUGCGCGUGUUCUAAAUGGCCCCAUCUGAUUGGGUCGUCUGUCUGUCCACCAGGACCAAGGGCCUGCGAUUGGGCCUCUUGGUCACGUGCAUGGAGAUGGGCGGGCCCACGGUUGGGCGGCCCAGCUUGCACAGUUGGCUCGCGUCGUUUUCUCGCCUAUCCGCUCCCGAUCCGCGGCUUUGUGAGCCUACGGCAAGACCGGAGCCAUCGUGACAGGGGAGGACGCCGGUCCGCGCCCGUCAGCUCCCCGCGGAGGCGCCGACGCCGGCGACGUGGGCGCCGUUUCUGGGGAAUGGCGGUUUUGCGCGGGGUAAGAUGUCGCGUGCUCGCUCGGGACUGCGCAGGUGGCGGCCGCGUGGACGCCCCUCCCGGGCCUCGCGCUGCCCUCAGCCGGCGGCCCCGACCCUGGUGACGCCUUCCCGGACUGCAGGGCCGCCCGGCCUCUGUGCUCCGUGGGACCGAGCCGGCUGUCUCGUCUCCCUCGUGCACGGCCGUGGCCGCCGCCCUGUCCCCCUGGCGCAUGGCCGCCGCCCCGCCCUGUCCCCCUGGCGCAUGGCCGCCGCCCUGUCCCCCUGGCGCAUGGCCGUCCUCCUGUCUGACUCGUGCGCGGCCCGUGGCCGCCGCCCUGUCCCCCUGGCGCAUGGCCGCCGCCCUGUCCCCCUGGCGCAUGGCCGUCCUCCUGUCUGACUCGUGCGCGGCCGUGGCUCAGGCCUGUUCUGCUGUGGGUGGCCCAUGGCCACUGGCCUGUUUCCUUGUGGGUGGCCCGUGGCCGCCGUCCUGUUCCCCUGGCGCAUGGCCGCCGCCCUGUCUGACUUGUGCGCAGCCCGUGGCCGCCGCCCUGUUCCCCGUGCGUGGCCGCCGCCCUGUUCCCCGUGCGUGGCCGUGGCUCAGGCCUGUUCUGCUUGUGCGUGGCCUGUGCGCCGCCCGAGGGCCUGUGCCGGGCUCAGCUGUGAGUGAGUGUUGCUGUUGAACACGGGGAGGGGGUGGGGGAGGCAAAGGAGCUGAAGGGUGAGUUUGGGGAGACCUGCUUCAGCCCACCCUGGCCGCUGUGAACCCCUGGGGAGGGAACCAGUGGAGGAGAACGCCCUGCCUGUCUCUGCCUCUCUAACAGGUAUUUAGAAAGAUAAGUUUAUUUUAGUACAAAAACUUUUGAAACCUACAUGAAGUUUUUUCACAGUGUACAUUUCCUGUGAACUUUUUGAAGACGUCUCUAUGCAGGGAUUUCAGCAACUUUUGCAUAAGAUGCACUUAUCUUUUAAUUCCAUUUUCAACAAACUUGUGUUUUUUAAAAAAGAGAUAUGUUUAUUUCAAGGGUAGAGUUACAGGCGGAGGGACAAGUGGAGAUCUCCCAUCCGCGCAUUCACUCCCCGAAUGGCUGCAGUGACCACGGCAGGGCCACGCUGAAGUCAGAGCCAAAGCCAGGAGCCGGGAACGCCAUUGGGGUCUCCCGAGUGGGGGCAGGGCCCAAGCACUCAGGCCAUCUGCUGCUGCCUUCCCUGGGCAUUCGCAGGGAGCUGGAUCAGAAGUGGAGCAGCUGAGACUUGAACCAGUGCCCACAUGGGAUGCUGGCAUCACAGGCGGUGGCUUAACCUGUUGUGCCACAACACAGUCGGUUUCUUCCACAAACUUCUGAAACAGCCUCAUAUGUGUGUGCGUGUGCCUGUGUUGCUUGUGCGUGUAUGUGUGCGUGCACCUGUGUGUGCAUGUGCCUGUGUGUGUGCUUGUGCAUGUGUGUGUGUCCACCUGUGUGUGUAUGGGCCUGUGUGUGUGCGUGCAGUACUCUCGGGCAGCGGUGUCCUCUCCCAGUCCUGCUGGCCACAGAGCAGUCUGAUGGGCUCCAGUUUUAGCUCUGUGGUAAUCAUGGCGAGAAUUACAGGAGAUGCUCCUAGAAGAGCCCCUAGCACACUGCGUGGAGCACCCAGCAGGGCGGAGAGCGCGCGGUAAGCAGCCGGAAGCUGCCUUGUGCCGUGGCGACAGCCCUGACGUGUGCCUGGCACUCGCUCUGCCCCAGGCACUGGGCCCAGUUCCUCACAAGGGUGGCCGGGCUGGCGCUUGCAGCCACCUGCCUGGAGGCUCCUGCUGCACCCGAGAGCGGCGAGCUCAGACUCGGGGAGCCGGGAGCUUGCCGAGGCCGCACAGCGAGCGGUGGCAGCCGCCCCGCACAGGUGUUUGUGCGCCCCUGCCACACGUGGGUGUGCCGCGCUCUGCACAGCCGGCAGCAGUGCUGCAGGUAGGAGACGUCAGCAGGCGCUCAGCUGAAUGCCCUCAUUAGAGGUUUAAGUCAAGCCACAGUGAGCUUUUCUGAAAUAUUUUGCUGUCAUCAAGUUCAUUUUCAGAAUCAAGUAUGAAAUGAAACAUGUUAGCAGUUCCCAAGUGAUUUGAUCUCAGAAUUCCUCUACGCUUUUUAUAAUCAUUGAGUGUUCCCCAGAAUGUUUGUUUCUGUGGUUGAAAUCCAUUGACCCUGCUGGCCAUGUCAGAAAUUAAAAUAAUUUAAAUAUUAUUUUUAACUCAUGUAACAUAAACCCAUUUUAAAAAGAUUUUUAUUUAUUUGAAAGUCAGAGUUACAGAGAGAGAGGGAGAGGCAGAGAGAGAGGUCCUCCAUCUGCUGGUUGGCUUCCCACAUGUCCGCAAUGGCUGGAGCUAGGCCCAUCUGAAGCCAGGGGCUUCUUCCAGGUCUCCUACGUGGGUGCAGGGGCCCAAGCACUUGGGCCAUCUUCUCUGCUUUCCCAGACCACAGCAGAGAGCUGGAUCGGAAGUGGACAGCAGGGACUCAAGCUGAUGCCCAUCUGGGAUGUCGGUACUGCAGGCAGCAGCUUUACCCACUAUGCCACAGUGCCGGCCCAAUAAACCCAUUUGUUUAAAAUGAUUAUUUAUUUAU